rnacentral:lncRNA from 1 species
AAAGGAAAUGGAGUGGUCCUCUCUCAAGCCUAUAAAUACCAUUUGCUAUAUUCAUCAACAACAACAGAUUUUUGAUCCCUACCUUAGCCGCACCUCUCCAUCACCAUUCUCUAAAAAUUCAGCCAAACACCACCCCUAGCCACACCAUCCACCAACCCUAAACCUUUCCAUACCAUUCCCCAUCCAUUCUACACCAUAAAAACCACCCAAAACCUGUCCAAAACCUCUUAUGCCGUGACUAUUGCAAGGAAGGAAGGAGAAGGAACAUCUUAUGCCGUGACUAUUGCAAGAAAGGAAGGAGAAGGAACAUCUUGUGCCGUGCCUAUGCCCAAGCCUUGGGAGUGUUGGAGCGUUUCUAGGUGUUUUCUAUCUUUGAUUUCAAUGUUUAAUUUAAGUUAUCUUUGUGUAAUUGCGAGCAUGAGGAAUUAAACCCCUCUUAGUUAGGGGGUGAUUCGAAACUAUGUUCAUGCU